rnacentral:lncRNA from 1 species
GUGUUUUCUUUGUUUCUUUGCAGAAAAAUGAAGUGACAGGUGCUUAGCCUCAUUUUUCAUGCUAGCUUUGCCAUGCCAUUUUCACCAAUAAUGAAGGCAGCUGCCAGAGUUUGAGGAAAUCAGGCGAAAAAUUCAGCUGGCAGGUGAUCAAGUCUGCCCUGUGGUCCCUGGUGCUGAGCAUUGAUGUUGGCAGGUGCAGCCUGGGGCAGUGGUAGAAGGGGAGCAGAGGCUGCAAUUCCUGUCACACCCCAGCCUCAAGAGGCUGGCAGAGCAUGGAGUGAACUUCAGCUUCUCUGGGGCCCAGGGGCUGCUUUUGGACACACAUCAGGCACUAAAGAUGGCCCAGGCUGUGGAUUACCUGUGAACUUCAAUGCUGAACAUUACUGA